AGAGUUUGAUCCUGGCUCAGAGCGAACGCUGGCGGCGUGCUUAACACAUGCAAGUCGAGUGCGCGCCUGUAGCAAUACAGGUGGCGCACGGCGCACGGGUGCGUAACACGUGGGUAAUCUGCCCUUCGAAGGGGAAUAACUCGCCGAAAGGCGAGCUAAUUCCGCAUAACAUUCCGAGGACUUUGGUUUUCGGAUUCAAAGGCGUAAGUCGUCGGAGGAGGAGCCCGCGCACGAUUAGCUAGUUGGUGAGGUAAUGGCUCACCAAGGCUAUGAUCGUUAGCUGGUCUGAGAGGAUGGCCAGCCACACUGGAACUGAGACACGGUCCAGACUCCUACGGGAGGCAGCAGUGGGGAAUCUUGCACAAUGGGCGAAAGCCUGAUGCAGCGACGCCGCGUGGGGGAUGAAGCUUCUCGGAGUGUAAACCCCUUUCGACCCGGACGAAUGCCCCGCAAGGGGACUGACGGUACGGGUAUAAGAAGCCCCGGCUAACUACGUGCCAGCAGCCGCGGUAAGACGUAGGGGGCCAGCGUUGCUCGGAAUUACUGGGUGUAAAGGGUUCGUAGGCGGUGUGGCAAGUCGGGAGUGAAAUCUCUGGGCUCAACCCAGAGUCUGCUUCCGAAACUGCUGUGCUUGAGUGUGGGAGAGGCGCGUGGAAUUGCAGGUGUAGCGGUGAAAUGCGUAGAUAUCUGCAGGAACACCCGUGGCGAAAGCGGCGCGCUGGACCACUACUGACGCUGAGGAACGAAAGCUAGGGGAGCAAACAGGAUUAGAUACCCUAGUAGUCC
rnacentral:rRNA from 1 species